ACGUCAGAGUAGGCUGUAGGCGUUUGGGUAUUGAAUGGGUGGGGGACUCCACAUUUCCUUGCUUCCCUCAUCCAUAUACUCUCUCUCUCUCUCCCUCCCACGUGUAUGUGUGUGCCGCAGAACUUCCCUAAAUUGCUUUUCCAUCUCUUCUUCUCCAUCAUCAUCGCUUUGUUCUCACCUUGCGAUUCUGCUUGUAUGAUUUAGAUUCUAUAGCAAGUAGAAGCUCUUAAUUUUUUCCUGGCUGUGAUGUUAGAAUUCGAGUCUUUUGGUGGUGUGGGAUUGCUCUGAGAAGUUACAAACAUCUCGAUCCGGAUAUCCCUCGGCGAUGCAUGUCAGGAAUCUAAUAGCGCCUUUAUCAAGAUGAGAGGAACCAUUGCCCUCUCUCUCCCGACCUUUUGAUGCGUGCUACAGAUUGAUCAGCCCUUGUUGUCGGCCUUUGUUUCAUUUUCUUGCCUCUAGAUUUCAACCAAGCCAUACUUCUACCUGUAUCACAUACAUCCAAAUCUAGACCAAGAACAAAGAAUAACCUGCCGAUGGAAGGGCUGGUAAUUGUGGAAGAGAACAUGUCCAAUCUCACUUCUGCCUCUGGCGAAGCAAGCGCCUCCUCCAACCAGCAAUCCUCCCUGAUCGCCACAGAGCCAAGUCCGGUGAAGAAAAAGAGGAACCUCCCGGGAAAUCCAGACCCAGAUGCGGAGGUAAUAGCACUGUCUCCCAAGACACUGAUGGCAACCAACAGGUUUGUGUGCGAGAUCUGCAACAAAGGAUUCCAGAGGGACCAGAACUUGCAGCUCCACAGGAGGGGCCACAAUCUCCCAUGGAAGCUGAAGCAAAGAAGCAAGGAGGCGAGGAAGAAGGUGUACGUGUGCCCAGAGGUGACAUGCGUCCACCAUGAACCUUCUAGGGCACUCGGAGACCUCACUGGCAUCAAGAAGCACUUCAGCCGGAAGCAUGGCGAGAAGAAGUGGAAGUGUGACAAGUGCUCCAAGAAAUAUGCUGUGAAGUCCGAUUGGAAGGCCCACUCCAAGAUCUGUGGCACAAGGGAAUACAGAUGCGACUGUGGCACUCUCUUUUCGAGGAGGGACAGCUUCGUGACUCACAGGGCCUUCUGUGAUGCACUGACAGAAAGGAGUUCGAGGGUCGGCAUUACAUCAAACCCUAUAGCCGAUCGCCACCUGCUCCAAUUCUCUCAUCCUACAGCAUCAUUUGAGCCCUUCCCGCUCCAGCAACCUGAUCUGCAGAGCCAGUUCACUCGCUUUAUGCGAGCCACAGAGGUCGGCAACAGUCCGUCGAGCAGCCAUGGGCUGCAGCAGGAGAUCGCACUGAAAAGAGAGCAGCAGCACUUCGACAGGUCAGAUAUCCCACCAUGGCUGAACUGCCAGGCGAUCACUUCUCUGAACUACUUUGACGUGAUGCCUUCGUCCAUAUACCCCAUGAGAUUAGACGAAGCAUACCCUCAUGAAAACCCAGUACCUCCACCUCCUUUCUUUCCCACGGACCAUUCCGCAACUUCCUUUCCACACAUGUCGGCCACUGCAUUGCUGCAGCAAGCGGCGCAAAUGGGUUCGACCGUAAGUAGACCUUCAGACGCUGAUCAGAUGGCUACUCACGACUCGUCCGCAUACAAUGCUACUUCUGGCUUUGAUCUCGGCUUGUCCUCCUCACAUCAAGAAGUGAGUGGUGGACGAGGAGGAGGUUUUGGGCAAGUGUUUGCACCUCCUGCUCUCCUCCAGGACAUGAUGCUGAACCCACUUUCUUCGACUCCAGGGUUUGUGGGUUCUUUCGACGAUGCACUUGGAAGGAUCCCGGGAUUCAAGAGGAGACAGAACAGCUUCGUGGAUGGCGUGGUCAGAAGCCAAGGAAGGGGUGAGGGAGGAGGUGGCGGUGGGAAUGAUGGGAUGACAAGAGACUUCUUAGGACCAAGGGCUGUUUUCCCACAGGGAUAUCCUUGACUUGGCUCUGUACCUCUGAGCAACCUCUCUGCUCGAAGGACACUUGUUCGUUGGCCUCCUUCCUCCUCCGAGAGAACUCUUUGUACCGUGCGGUGCGCUCUUCCUUGCUUUGCCUUUGCCACAAAAGUAUCUAUUUGUGUUGUUGUAGGGUUUAUCCUCAUAAACUUUAUUUCCGAAGCACAACAUUCUCUGGUUUUCCUUAAAUGACUCUGUAAUAUUCCUAGUUAAGAAUAAUGGAAUAUUUAUCCCCAUAAAGUAAA